rnacentral:rRNA from 1 species
AACGAACGCUGGCGGCAUGCCUAACACAUGCAAGUCGAACGAGACCUUCGGGUCUAGUGGCGCACGGGUGCGUAACGCGUGGGAACCUGCCCUUAGGUUCGGAAUAACUCCCCGAAAGGGGUGCUAAUACCGGAUAAUGUCUUCGGACCAAAGAUUUAUCGCCUUUGGAUGGGCCCGCGUUGGAUUAGCUAGUUGGUAGGGUAAAAGCCUACCAAGGCGACGAUCCAUAGCUGGUCUGAGAGGAUGAUCAGCCACACUGGGACUGAGACACGGCCCAGACUCCUACGGGAGGCAGCAGUGGGGAAUAUUGGACAAUGGGCGAAAGCCUGAUCCAGCAAUGACGGGUGAGUGAUGAAGGCCGUAGGGUUGUAAAGCUCUUUUACCCGGGAUGAUAAUGACAUUACCGGGAGAAUAAGCACCGGCUAACUCCGUG